rnacentral:rRNA from 1 species
ACCGCGAAUGGCUCAUUAAAUCAGUUAUGGUUCCUUGGACCUCACAGUUUACUUGGAUAACUGUGGUAAUUCUAGAGCUAAUACAUGCAACUCAGUCCCGACCAGAAAUGGAAGGGACGCUUUUAUUAGAUCAAAACCAAUCGGCCGGUUCGCCCGGCCGUUGAUUUUGGUGACUCUGGAUAACUUUGGGCUGAUCGCACGGUCUUCGCACCGGCGACGUACCCUUCAAAUGUCUGCCUUAUCAACUGACGAUGGUAGGCUCUGCGCCUACCAUGGUUAUAACGGGUGACGGGGAAUCAGGGUUCGAUUCCGGAGAGGGAGCCUGAGAAACGGCUACCACAUCCAAGGAAGGCAGCAGGCGCGCAAAUUACCCACUCCCGGCACGGGGAGGUAGUGACGAAAAAUAACGAUACGGGACUCAUCCGAGGCCCCGUAAUCGGAAUGAGCACACUUUAAAUCCUUUAACAAGUAUCCAUUGGAGGGCAAGUCUGGUGCCAGCAGCCGCGGUAAUUCCAGCUCCAAUAGCGUAUAUUAAAGUUGCUGCGGUUAAAAAGCUCGUAGUUGGACGUGUGUCUCGCGCUGCCGGUUCACCGCUCGUCGGUGUCUAACUGGCACGCGUGCGGGACGUCCUGCUGGUGGAGGCGAGCCGACGGCGCGGGCGCGCGCGGCGCAGCCCCGGCUCCGGCGGCGAGCGAUCGUCGCCGGCUCGGCCGGGAAGCGGCCGCGCCGCGCCUCGUCGGAGGCGGACCCCGAUGUCACCCGCCGCGGUGCUCUUAGCUGAGUGUCGCGCGGGCCGGCACGUUUACUUUGAACAAAUUAGAGUGCUUCAAGCAGGCCCAGAUUCGCCGGAAUAUUGUGUGCAUGGAAUAAUAGAAUAGGACCUCGGUUCUAUUUUGUUGGUUUUCGGAGCCCGAGGUAAUGAUUAAUGGGGAUUGCCGGGGGCAUCCGUAUUGCGACGUUAGAGGUGAAAUUCUUGGAUCGUCGCAAGACGAACUGAAGCGAAAGCGUUUGCCAAGUAUGUUUUCUUUAAUCAAGAACGAAAGUUAGAGGUUCGAAGGCGAUCAGAUACCGCCCUAGUUCUAACCAUAAACUAUGCCACCUAGCGAUCCGCUGUGUGUCUUAGAUGUCACGGCGGGCAGCCCCCGGGAAACCAAAGGUUUCGGGUUCCGGGGGAAGUAUGGUUGCAAAGCUGAAACUUAAAGGAAUUGACGGAAGGGCACCACCAGAAGUGGAGCCUGCGGCUUAAUUUGACUCAACACGGGAAAACUCACCAAGCCCGGACACUGGAAGGAUUGACAGAUUGAGAGCUCUUUCUUGAUUCGGUGGGUGGUGGUGCAUGGCCGUUCAUAGUUGGUGGAUUGAUUUGUCUGGUUAAUUCCGAUAACGAACGAGACUCUAGCCUGCUAACUAGGCGAAUCCGGCAUCCUUGGCGCAGCCGGCGAUCCACCAUCUUCUUAGAGGGACUGGCAUCUCCCAGAUGCACGAGACAGAGCAAUAACAGGUCUGUAAUGCCCUUAGAUGUCUUGGGCAGCACGCGCGCUACACUGAAGGGAGAAGUGUGUGUUUUCCUUGCCCGAGAGGGCCGGGCAACCCGCUGAACCCCCUUCGUGCUAGGGAUUGGGGCUUGCAAUUGUUCCCCACGAACGAGGAAUUCCUAGUAAGCGCGAGUCACUAGCUCGCGUUGAUUAUGUCCCUGCCCUUUGUACACACCGCCCGUCGCUACUACCGAUUGAAUGAUUUAGUGAGGUCUUCGGACCAGUGCGCGGCGCUCUUCUCGGGGGCCGAUGUCACCGGGAAGAUGACCGAACUUGAUUAUUUAGAGGAAGUAAAAGUCGUAACAAGGUUUCCGUAGGUGAACCUGC